AUUUAUAUAGUUUAAAAAAAACAUUACACUUUCAUUGUAAAAAUAUUUUUAUAAAUUAUAAAUU
rnacentral:tRNA from 2 species